rnacentral:rRNA from 1 species
UUUGAUCAUGGCUCAGAUUGAACGCUGGCGGCAUGCCUUACACAUGCAGGUCGAACGGCAGCAUGAUCUAGCUUGCUAGAUUGAUGGCGAGUGGCGAACGGGUGAGUAAUACAUCGGAACGUGCCCUGUAGUGGGGGAUAACUAGUCGAAAGAUUAGCUAAUACCGCAUACGACCUGAGGGUGAAAGUGGGGGACCGCAAGGCCUCAUGCUAUAGGAGCGGCCGAUGUCUGAUUAGCUAGUUGGUGAGGUAAAGGCUCACCAAGGCGACGAUCAGUAGCUGGUCUGAGAGGACGAUCAGCCACACUGGGACUGAGACACGGCCCAGACUCCUACGGGAGGCAGCAGUGGGGAAUUUUGGACAAUGGGGGCAACCCUGAUCCAGCAAUGCCGCGUGUGUGAAGAAGGCCUUCGGGUUGUAAAGCACUUUUGUCCGGAAAGAAAUCGCACUUACUAAUAUUAGGUGUGGAUGACGGUACCGGAAGAAUAAGGACCGGCUAACUACGUGCCAGCAGCCGCGGUAAUACGUAGGGUCCAAGCGUUAAUCGGAAUUACUGGGCGUAAAGCGUGCGCAGGCGGUUGUGCAAGACCGAUGUGAAAUCGCCGGGCUUAACCUGGGAAUUGCAUUGGUGACUGCACGGCUAGAGUGUGUCAGAGGGGGGUAGAAUUCCACGUGUAGCAGUGAAAUGCGUAGAGAUGUGGAGGAAUACCGAUGGCGAANGCAGCCCCNUAGGAUAACACUGACGCUCAUGCACGAAAGCGUGGGGAGCAAACAGGAUUAGAUACCCUGGUAGUCCACGCCCUAAACGAUGUCAACUAGUCGUUGGGGAUUCAUUUCCUUAGUAACGUAGCUAACGCGUGAAGUUGACCGCCUGGGGAGUACGGUCGCAAGAUUAAAACUCAAAGGAAUUGACGGGGACCCGCACAAGCGGUGGAUGAUGUGGAUUAAUUCGAUGCAACGCGAAAAACCUUACCUACCCUUGACAUGCCACUAACGAAGCAGAGAUGCAUUAGGUGCUCGAAAGAGAAAGUGGACACAGGUGCUGCAUGGCUGUCGUCAGCUCGUGUCGUGAGAUGUUGGGUUAAGUCCCGCAACGAGCGCAACCCUUGUCUCUAGUUGCUACGAAAGGGCACUCUAGAGAGACUGCCGGUGACAAACCGGAGGAAGGUGGGGAUGACGUCAAGUCCUCAUGGCCCUUAUGGGUAGGGCUUCACACGUCAUACAAUGGUGCAUACAGAGGGUUGCCAAGCCGCGAGGUGGAGCUAAUCCCAGAAAAUGCAUCGUAGUCCGGAUCGUAGUCUGCAACUCGACUACGUGAAGCUGGAAUCGCUAGUAAUCGCGGAUCAGUAUGCCGCGGUGAAUACGUUCCCGGGUCUUGUACACACCGCCCGUCACACCAUGGGAGUGGGUUUUGCCAGAAGUAGUUAGCCUAACCGCAAGG